AAGUCGUAACAAGGUUUCCGUAGGUGAACCUGCGGUUGGAUCAUUAAAAAACAAAGAAGCUCGGCUUCUUGACUUUAGUCGAAAGACUAUUGUAACAUUUUGUGAAUUAACAUGAAUUUGGGUAUGAAGUUAAAUUUAUGCCCAAACUAUAAAACCCCUUAAUAAUAAACUAAAUAAAGAGACAAUGAGAAACAACUUUUGACAACGGAUCUCUUGGCUCUC
rnacentral:misc_RNA from 1 species